AUCCCCUGGGGAUCUUGUUAAAAGGAAGAUUCUGAUUCAGUAGUUCUGAGGUGGGGCCUGAGAUUCUGCAUUUAUAACCAGCCCCCCAGUGAUGCCAA
rnacentral:pre_miRNA from 1 species